rnacentral:rRNA from 1 species
AAUCAACGCUGGCGGCGUGCCUAACACAUGCAAGUCGAACGCGAAAGUGGAGCAAUCCAUGAGUAGAGUGGCAAACGGGUGAGUAACGCGUGGGUGACCUGCCUUCGAGUGGGGGAUAACGUUCCGAAAGGGACGCUAAUACCGCAUGACAUCCUGCCUUUGAAGAGGCGGAGAUCAAAGCCGGGGAUCGCAAGACCUGGCGCUUGUUGAGGGGCCCGCGUCNGAUUAGCUAGUUGGUGGGGUAACGGCUCACCAAGGCAACGAUCAGUAUCCGGCCUGAGAGGGCGGACGGGACACACUGGGACUGAGACACGGCCCAGACUCCUACGGGAGGCAGCAGUGGGGAAUUGUUCGCAAUGGGCGCAAGCCUGACGACGCAACGCCGCGUGGAGGAUG